GAUGAACGCUGGCGGCGUGCCUAAUACAUGCAAGUCGAGCGAACGGACGAGAAGCUUGCUUCUCUGAUGUUAGCGGCGGACGGGUGAGUAACACGUGGAUAACCUACCUAUAAGACUGGGAUAACUUCGGGAAACCGUAGCUAAUACCGGAUAAUAUUUUGAACCACAUGGUUCAAAAGUGAAAGACGGUCUUGCUGUCACUUAUAGAUGGAUCCGCGCUGCAUUAGCUAGUUGGUAAGGUAACGGCUUACCAAGGCAACGAUGCAUAGCCGACCUGAGAGGGUGAUCGGCCACACUGGAACUGAGACACGGUCCAGACUCCUACGGGAGGCAGCAGUAGGGAAUCUUCCGCAAAGGGCGAAAGCCUGACGGAGCAACGCCGCGUGAGUGAUGAAGGUCUUCGGAUCGUAAAACUCUGUUAUUAGGGAAGAACAUAUGUGUAAGUAACUGUGCACAUCUUGACGGUACCUAAUCAGAAAGCCACGGCUAACUACGUG
rnacentral:rRNA from 1 species